GUUCCACCGAACAAUAUAAUCAGGGAUCAUCCGAUACAAGUGGAACAAUACAGAGAAGAUGAGCAUGGAUUCUGGCGCAAGGAUGACACGCACAAUUCGAGAAGUUUACCAGUUGAAA
rnacentral:snRNA from 1 species